rnacentral:rRNA from 1 species
UGCCAGCAGCCGCGGUAAUACGGAGGGGGCAAGCGUUAUUCGGAAUUAUUGGGCGUAAAGGGCGCGUAGGCGGCCAUGCAAGUCAGGGGUGAAAUCCCUCGGCUCAACCGAGGAACUGCCUCUGAAACUGCAUGGCUUGAGGCCGGGAGAGGGUGGUGGAAUUCCUAGUGUAGCGGUGAAAUGCGUAGAUAUUAGGAGGAACACCAGUGGCGAAGGCGACCACCUGGACCGGAUCUGACGCUGAGGCGCGAAAGUGUGGGGAGCAAACAGGAUUAGAUA